rnacentral:lncRNA from 1 species
AUGUCUGCGUCCUCUCAUUUCGAGCGCACGCCGUCCGCGGCGAGGCAGCUACAGAUCAUCGCCCUCUCUUCGGGCCGCCAGACGCAACCUUGCACGUACGUCCACGCUGUGUCAGCGCCUCCCAUUGUAGAGCCUGAGCUGUGCAGCCAAUCAAAGAGGACGUUGAGCGGUGAGGACGUGCUUCCUCUUCCUCGUCCUCUAAAUCCCUCGUUGCCAAAAAACACCUCUCCCCUGCCCUCGCCGCCGUCUCUCCUGAGUCCGGCGUCCCCUCCCAGUCAGGCCGCUCCUCAAACACACACUCUGAGCCGGAGAGGAGCGGCGAGGGAGAGCGAAGAGCAGCGAGACAGAGGACGAGGACGAGACCUGAGGCUGGAGAGAGGGAAAGAGAAACAGAGGCUUCCACCUGAGAGGGAAGGAAGCAGUCAGAAGGAACAGGAAGUGGAAACGGGCAGAGAGGAAGAACAGAUGGAAGUGACAGAGGAAGGCCGGAGCGACGGACACAGGGCAGAGAGAGGCGAGGUGAGAAGCACAGAGGAGCACGGAGAGACCGCCAUGGACCAGUCUGAGAGUCCGCUCCAUCAGAACCAGUCUGAGAGUCUUCUCCAUCAGAACCAGUCUGAGAGUCCACUUCUCCAUCAGAACCAGUCUGAGAGUCUUCUCCAUCAGAACCAGUCUGAGAGUCCACUUCUCCAUCAGAACCAGUCUGAGAGUCUUCUCCAUCAGAACCAGUCUGAGAGUCCACUUCUCCAUCAGAACCAGUCUGAGAGUCUUCUCCAUCAGAACCAGUCUGAGAGUCCACUUCUCCAUCAGAACCAGUCUGAGAGUCCACUUCUUCAUCAGAACCAGUCUGAGAGUCUUCUCCAUCAGAACCAGAGCUCAGACCCGGUCAAAGAACCCAAACCCGUCAUUCCAGCUCCAGAGCUCUCAGUCCAGAGUCAGAGGGACCUGCAGCCGGGCAGCCAGGAGGACUUCUGUGAGAACAUGUCCACCCAGUCUGACAACCAGUCAGGUAUCUGUGAACCUCACUCACCUCACACACCUCACACACACCUCACACACACCUCACACACACCUCACACACACCUCACACACCUCACACACCUCACACACCUCACACACACCUCACACACACCUCACACACCUCGCACACUUCUUCUUUAA